GUCUUUUUGAAAAUAAUUUAAAGUCUAAUCUGCCCACUGAAUGAUUUAAUUUAAAGGGCUGCAGUAUAUUGACUGUACAAAGGUAGCAUAAUCAAUAGUCUUUUAAUUGGAGACUUGUAUGAAUGAUUUAAUGAGAUAUAAACUGUCUCUUUAUUAAAAUUAGAAUUUAAUUUUUUAGUUAAAAAGCUAAAAUAGUUAUAAAAGACGAGAAGACCCUAUAGAGUUUUAUAUUUUAUUAUGAAUAAAUAAUAAUAUAUAAUUUAAAAAUUAUUCAUAAAAAAGUAUUUUGUUGGGGUGAUAGAAAAAUAAAAAUAACUUUUUUUUUAAAAAUUAACAUUAAUUUAUGAAUAAAUGAUCCAUAAUUUAUGAUUAUAAGAUUAAAUUACCUUAGGGAUAACAGCGUAAUUUUUUUUUUUAGUUCAAAUAAAAAUAAAAGUUUGCGACCUCGAUGUUGGAUUAAGAUAAAAUUUAAAUGCAAAAGUUUAAAAUUUUGAUCUGUUCGAUCAUUAAAAUCUUACA
rnacentral:rRNA from 1 species